rnacentral:rRNA from 1 species
AUCUUCCGCAAUGGGCGAAAGCCUGACGGAGCAACGCCGCGUGAGUGAUGAAGGUCUUCGGAUCGUAAAACUCUGUUAUCAGGGAAGAACAAAUGUGUAAGUAACUGUGCACAUCUUGACGGUACCUGAUCAGAAAGCCACGGCUAACUACGU